rnacentral:piRNA from 1 species
UUAAAAUCAAACCUCAAGGCUAUUGAACAA